GACGAACGCUGGCGGCGUGCCUAAUACAUGCAAGUUGAGCGAUGAAGAUUGGUGCUUGCACCAAUUUGAAGAGCAGCGAACGGGUGAGUAACGCGUGGGGAAUCUGCCUUUGAGCGGGGGACAACAUUUGGAAACGAAUGCUAAUACCGCACAACAACUUUAAACAUAAGUUUUAAGUUUGAAAGAUGCAAUUGCAUCACUCAAAGAUGAUCCCGCGUUGUAUUAGCUAGUUGGUGAGGUAAAGGCUCACCAAGGCGAUGAUACAUAGCCGACCUGAGAGGGUGAUCGGCCACAUUGGGACUGAGACACGGCCCAAACGCCUACGGGAGGCAGCAGUAGGGAAUCUUCGGCAAUGGACGAAAGUCUGACCGAGCAACGCCGCGUGAGUGAAGAAGGUUUUCGGAUCGUAAAACUCUGUUGGUAGAGAAGAACGUUGGUGAGAGUGGAAAGCUCAUCAAGUGACGGUAACUACCCAGAAAGGGACGGCUAACUACGUG
rnacentral:rRNA from 1 species